AGAGGGAUAACUGGGUCAAAUGGUUGCUCCAUUCUCAGAUUUCUAAGGUAUCUCCAUACUGCUUUCCAUAUCGGCUGCACCAAUUUGCAGUUCCACCAGCAAU
rnacentral:pre_miRNA from 1 species